GACGAACGCUGGCGGCGUGCUUAACACAUGCAAGUCGAACGAUGAAGCCGGAGCUUGCUCUGGUGAAUUAGUGGCGAACGGGUGAGUAACACGUGAGUAACCUGCCCUUGACUCUGGGAUAACUGCUAGAAAUGGUAGCUAAUACCGGAUACGACCCUCGGAGGCAUCUCCGGGGGGUGGAAAGAAUUUCGGUCAAGGAUGGACUCGCGGCCUAUCAGAUAGUUGGUGAGGUAACGGCUCACCAAGGCGACGACGGGUAGCCGGCCUGAGAGGUGGACCGGCAACGCUGGGACUUAGGCACGGCCCAGACUCCUACGGGAGGCAGCAGUGGGGAAUAUUGCACAAUGGGCGCAAGCCUGAUGCAGCAACGCCGCGUGAGGGAUGACGGCCUUCGGGUUGUAAACCUCUUUUAGUAGGGAAGAAGCGAAAGUGACGGUACCUGCAGAAAAAGCACCGGCUAACUACGUGCCAGCCGCCGCCGUAA
rnacentral:rRNA from 1 species